rnacentral:tRNA from 1 species
GGCGGUAUAGCUCAGUUGGCUAGAGCACUCGGUUCAUACCCGAUUUGUCGUUGGUUCAAGUCCAAUUACCGCUACCA